UAAGUUUUAUUUCUUAUUUUGCCCUUAUCUCCCGAUUCUUUCUCCUCCGACUUCGCCGAACCCAUUUCUCCCGAUCUCCCCCUUCCUCUCGUCUCUGCCCAUUUCUCCCGAUGCCUCAUCCUUGUGCGACCAUUCUUUUCCUCCACUCGAUCCGUCGCCCUCUCCCUUUUCCCUUGGUGUCGCCUUUGCCCGACAUCACCGACGUCGUCCGGUGCCGCACUGCCCAGCGGACACCGCCUGAUCGUAUUGGCGUCGCGCGACCACCGGGCCUACCUUCUUCCUUGUCGAUCGCCUGCGCCCUCCAACCAUCUUUCUCCUCAGAUCGUUGCCUAGUGUCGCAGUUAACCGAGGGUUCCCAUCGUCGGGAAAAGGAGAUUCAACCAAGAGAUUAGGGCAAUCUGUUCCCCUUGCUUGCGGAGUCAAGAAAAUGCUGUGGAUCUUGCAUCAAAGAUUCCACCGUCUCUUCCUUUUCACCGCUUCUGGAUAAGGGGAUAGAUGUUUGACGAAAUGCCCUAAGUCUUCUUAUCUCCUCUGUUUGCGCUCGCAACCCCAUUGGCGACCACUUGUUUCUACCUAUUGCUGUGAGUAGCUGUCGGGACAGUGGACAUCCACUGUAAGAGGCUGUGAGGUAGCAGUUAGAUGUUUGGUGUGUCGCUUGGAGUAUCCUGUCUGCCGGGUCCUAAGUCACAUCUGAAGACCGUUUCGAGUUUUGUAUAUGUUUUAUUUGUAUUUGGUAUUUGCUGUAUUUGGUGUGUUGUUGUAUUUGUUGUUGUGGUUGUUGUAUAAAGCCUAGCCGGCUAGAAGUGUGUUGAUUUGUUUCGUAUUAGACUUUCCGUUAUCGUUUUUCCGCUGUGUUGGUUUUUAAUGCAGCUGAGUGGGUUGUUCAUUGUAUAUAUAUAAAUGUAUGGUUGUGUUUUAUUAUGUUCCAGCUGAGUGGACUGAAUAUAAACUGUGUGGUUGUGUA